rnacentral:rRNA from 1 species
UACGUAGGGUGCGAGCGUUGUCCGGAAUUAUUGGGCGUAAAGGGCUCGUAGGCGGUCUGUUGCGUCGGGAGUGAAAACUCAGGGCUUAACCCUGAGCCUGCUUCCGAUACGGGCAGACUAGAGGUAUGCAGGGGAGAACGGAAUUCAUGGUGUAGCAGUGAAAUGCGUAGAGAUCAUGAGGAAGACCAGUGGCGAAGGCGGGUCUCUGGACAGUUCCUGACACUGAGGCACGAAGGCCAGGGGAGCAAACGGG